CUAGCUACAGGCUUAACACAUGCAAGUCGAGGGGCAGCGGUAUCGAAAGCUUGCUUUCGGUAGCCGGCGACCGGCGCACGGGUGAGUAACGCGUAUCGAACCUGCCUCAUACUCGGGAAUAGCCUUGCGAAAGUAAGAUUAAUGCCCGGUGUUUUCAGAGUCCCGCAUGAGGCUUUGAACAAAGAUUUAUCGGUAUGAGAUGGCGAUGCGUCCCAUUAACUUGUUGGCGGGGUAACGGCCCACCAAGGCAUCGAUGGGUAGGGGUUCUGAGAGGAAGGUCCCCCACAUUGGAACUGAGACACGGUCCAAACUCCUACGGGAGGCAGCAGUGAGGAAUAUUGGUCAAUGGGCGGAAGCCUGAACCAGCCAAGUAGCGUGCAGGAAGACGGCCCUCCGGGUUGUAAACUGCUUUUAGUUGGGAAUAAAACGGGGCUCGUGAGCCCCCUUGCAUGUACCAUCAGAAAAAGGACCGGCUAAUUCCGUGCCAGCAGCCGCGGUAAUACGGAAGGUUCGGGCGUUAUCCGGAUUUAUUGGGUUUAAAGGGAGCGCAGGCGGACCUUUAAGUCAGCUGUGAAAUACGGCGGCUCAACCGUCGAACUGCAGUUGAUACUGGAGGUCUUGAGUGCACACAGGGAUGCUGGAAUUCAUGGUGUAGCGGUGAAAUGCUCAGAUAUCAUGAAGAACUCCGAUCGCGAAGGCAGGCAUCCGGGGUGCAACUGACGCUGAGGCUCGAAAGUGCGGGUAUCAAACAGGAUUAGAUACCCUGGUAGUCCGCACAGUAAACGAUGAAUACUCGCGGUUUGCGAUACAGUGUAAGCCGCCAAGCGAAAGCGUUAAGUAUUCCACCUGGGG
rnacentral:rRNA from 1 species